CGACGCGCUGCUCCGCGGCUGGCCUAACUCGCGGCUGCCCCGGGACACAGCUCGCUCCGGGAAGGCCGCCAGCGCGCCGAGAACGGGCAGCUCGCUACACCUACCCUCCUCCGCCACAGGCGGCCGCGGGGGCUCCGCCUGAGCCCCGGCAGCUGCCCAGGCCUCGCAGGCCCCGAGCCCGGGGCGGUGCGAGCCGGCCGCGCCGGGCCCAGCCUCCGCGGGGCGCUCGGGGCCUCUCGGAGGGCGAAGGCGGUCGGCGCGGCCCCGCAGCGCAAGGCCUCACGCCGCAGCCGGGCAGCCGCGGAGGGGAGGGGAGCAGGGGGAAGGCCACCGGCCGCGAGAAGGCGCGAGAAGGCGCCAGGGCAGCAGCGCCCGGCUCUACCCGGCCCCGCCCCGCCCCGUCUCCCAGCGGCGGCGCGCGCGGCGCUGGCCACGGCGCGGGCGGGGGGGAGGGGCGACAGGGCGGGGCGCGGCGCAGGGGCCUGGCGAGGCGGCAGGGCGGGGGGAGGGGGCCUCGUGGGGCCCCAGCGCAGGGCGAGGAGGUGGCGGGGCGAGGGCAGGCGUAACCUGAAACACCGUCUUGUUUCCUAUGGCAGCAGGCAGCUCGGAGGGGCGGGCGCUGUCCCUGUCCCUGCGGCGGGGCGGGCGGUGCCCGAGCUAGCUGCACCCGAGCUAGGUCAGGUGCUGCGGGCAGCAGGGGCAGGGCCGAGCUGUUCUGCUGCGGCCAUGUCACAACCUCAUUAACGUGGAUGGCCGCCUGUGCUGCGGUCAUUUCUGCUGGCUGUGGGGCAGGCACAGCCCUGGGUGUGAUCCUGUUGUGGAAAGGGGGUGAAAGAAGUUCAUGUUUCAGUGACUGAAAUCCACCCGUAGCUUGAGGUUCAUUUUCUGUAGACACAUCACGAUAGAAGCAGCUCAUGUCGUCUGUGUAGGGGGGUCCUGGUUUUACAGUGCUCUCUCAGGUCAGCUAAUCCCACUUUUUUCUUCCAGGGAAGUCAUUUUUACCAAGAAAAGCACGUAUUUGAACUGCGGGGCGCACAGUGGUUUCCCCGUCACAUACAGUAACGUUGCAGACAAGCUAGCAAGCACCCAGACUGAAUAAGAACAGUAUAUGGAAGAAUCCAAGAGGUGUUCAGACCUCACCUACAAUAAUCUGGGUGCUGAGACGCAGCCACUGAUGGCGUGGGUAAACUGUGCAAUGGAUGAGCACUGUAUGGAGCAUCGUGGGUCUUUCGGCAAGGAACCGCGCCAGACUCUGCAGAUGCCUCAUUGCCCCCGCCUGAAGCAGCAACACAGCAAUGAACUGGUCAGUGGCACGGAGGGGGGAAGGUGGUACCUCUGUGUCUUCUGCUCCAGCAGCCCUUUCUCUUCCCACCCGCCUUUCCAUGCGUCAGAUGUCCCCGUGUUUGUCAUCCACUCUGAAUCAAACUUCGCCCUAAACCACUAAGCUACCCUCUUCUGCCUGAAGUUGCCACUGGCAACAGUGGCCUCUCCAAAGUGAUUGCAGUGAAUGGUAUUUGCUGUCGUUCUUCCAAAGAAACUUUUUCUCCGCAGAAGAAAUCGAAGCACAAACAACACUGUUAGCCACGUGAAUCUGAGCCUGCUUCUAUAAUUUUAUGGGAGUUUCGUAACACCAGUGAAGGCCUGGGCGUUCUGUCCAGCCACCUGAAAGCUCUCUGCAAGAUCAGCUUUGACAUUCGGUUUCUCUCUCUGAUUCAUUAAAGAAGAAACCUGCCCUCGCUCAGACGGCUGAUGCUGUUUGGAUGAGGAGAGUGUACAGGCAUAAGACACAGCAGAGCGAUGUUAUCAUGAUGACAUAUGGGGGACUGUGUUAGUGUUAGAGAUGAUUUUUAAUUAUUUACCUGUACCACAUAAGAAUGUGAGGGAAUUUAUUGUAUUAAUUGUGCUUGCCGCAGUGAAGGAUUUCUAAGCUCAUUGUGAUAAACCCAAGCAUUUUUUUUUGUAAUGCACUGGACCUACAUCAUCACUGCUGCAUUUAGAAGGAGAGGAAUCCACAGCCAGCUUCUUUUUCAUUGCUACAUAAUUUAAACAUAACCUAUUCAGGCAUUAAAGAGAUACAGAGAAAGUUGUUGUUCACUGUGGUUAGGUUUGCAGCAUGUUGUUGCUUUCUUUGGAUGAGAUUUUUCAUCCUGAUGACAUAAGCUUCAUCUUUAAGCAAAAAUUCUCUCUAAAUCGAGCAUACCCCCUUAGGAGAUUUCAGCCCCUUGGCUGGUUGAUAAUGUGA